GCAGGCCGCCGCGUUCUCGUACGCUGCGUGCUAUCUGCCAUGCCAACCUUCGCGUUCACGGCGCUGCGAAUACCAAAGAAGUUCAUAAAGGAGAUCGACAAGUCAAGACGGCGCUUCCUCUGGGCGGGAGACGAAGAAAUCUCGGGCGGCAAAUGCAAGGUUCGCUAGGCAUCAGUGACCAAGCCGGAGCAACUGGGCGGACUGGGCAUCCCUGACCUCAGCCGUUUCGCCCGGGCUCUACGGAUGCGCUAGCUAUGGCUCUCCUGGAGGCAGCCAACCAGGCCCUGGGUUGGCACCGGGACGCCAUGCGACGCUGUUGAUCGGGCUCUUUUCGCGGCCUCCAUGGUGGUGACCAUCGGGAACGGUGCUACUGCAUCCUUCUGGUCGUGCUCCUGGCUGGGAGGGAGGCAACUUUGCUCGGCAUACCCCGACUUGUUCGCCCGAGCCAUCCGCAAGAACAGAAGCGUAAAGGAGGCCUUGACUAAUGAUCGGUGGAUCCUCGACCUUCGCAACGGCGACUACAACAACAUUGUGCAUCAAGUGGUGCAGCUGGCAAGAGAGAUCAGGCAAGCUCAAAUCAAUCUGGAACCGGAGGCCCCGGACACGAUCAAAUGGAAGUUCAACAGCUCGGGAAACUACUCGACAAGCUCGGCGUACAACGCACAAUUUGAAGGCAAUUAG
rnacentral:rRNA from 1 species